AUUGAACGCUGGCGGCAUGCCUUACACAUGCAAGUCGAACGGCAGCACGGGAGCUUGCUCCUGGUGGCGAGUGGCGAACGGGUGAGUAAUGCAUCGGAACGUGCCCUGAAGUGGGGGAUAACGUAGCGAAAGUUACGCUAAUACCGCAUAUUCUGUGAGCAGGAAAGCAGGGGAUCUUCGGACCUUGCGCUUUUGGAGCGGCCGAUGUCGGAUUAGCUAGUUGGUGGGGUAAAGGCCCACCAAGGCGACGAUCCGUAGCGGGUCUGAGAGGAUGAUCCGCCACACUGGAACUGAGACACGGUCCAGACUCCUACGGGAGGCAGCAGUGGGGAAUUUUGGACAAUGGGCGCAAGCCUGAUCCAGCCAUGCCGCGUGAGUGAAGAAGGCCUGGUGUAAG
rnacentral:rRNA from 1 species